AAUACUUACAAGGUAGCACUAACACUUGCUUCGAGUUUGGGAGGUGUAAGGAUGGUGUGGUUAGAUAAGUUGAUUCAGAUUUUGUAGGUGAUUUGGAUAGGAUGAGAUCACUUUCAGGUUAUGUAUUCUCUAUUGGCGGUUAUGCAGUUAGUUGGAAAGCUUCAUUACAACCUAUUGUUGCCUUGUCUAUGACGGAGGCAGAAUAUAUUGCUAUGAUAGAGGGUGUGAACGAAGCUAUGUGAUUAAGAGGCUUAUUUGGAGAGCUUACUUCUUGUUGGGAUUUGACGAUUGUUUAUUCAGACAAUCAAAGUGCUAUUCAUUUGUCGAAAGAUCAGAUGUAUGUUUCAUGAGAGGAUAAAGCACAUCGAUGUAAAGUUUCACUUUGUUCGGGAUGUGAUCGGGAAACGCACGGUGACUGUUAAGAAAAUUGACACUGAGGACAAUCCGGCGAAUAUGCUUACUAAGUCCCUUACUAUUCCUAAGUUCAAAUAUUGUUUGGACUUGGUGGCAGUUGGCAGCAUUUGAGGCCCUAUAGGGUGUUUGGAGAAAACGGAGCACGGAGUGUUAAGGAGCAUUGAGGCGAAUUAAAUUCAAUGUGGAGUUUUGUGGUGAUCUCAACAUAGCAACUACACUACAAAUUAAACCAAGAUGGAAAUUGUUAAAUUUGGUUUGAUUUGUAGUUACCUAGAUUGGAGUUCAAUCCUAAGCUAAUUGGGAUUGAAUAUAAUUUAGUUUUAAUUUGGCAUAUAUGGAUUAUGAGUCGGAAUUUAAUUCAAUUUUGAAUUAGAUUAGACUUGUGUUUAGAAAUCCAAUUAGAUUAGAGUUCUAAUUAGACUCUAAUUCAAAGUCAUGCCCUAUAUAUACGUGGCCAAGUUAAUGAAGCCGAGCCAAGACCAAAUUUUAAAAGCCAUGCAAAAUUAAUUCAGUUAUUGGUGGUCCGUGCUCUAAUUAGAGGCAAGCUCUAAUGACCCCGCAUCUCUAAUUAGACGUUGGAUCUUGGGAGGACCCGUAUGCACUAAUUAAUACUGAUUUGUAGUCCGUACAGAUUGGUGAGAGAGAAACCACUUUGGACUCGCUUUGACGGAUGUGGAUUUCGGCGUUUCGGAUCUAAUUAAGUUUUGAUCUUUUGAGAGAUCUUCUUUGUACUCCGCCUUUUCGAUAUUAAUAAAUUAUUUUCUCCGUCUUUGCCCGUGGACAUAGGCCGUUGGCCGAACCACGUAAAAUAUCGGUGUGCUCUUUUCUUUUUUUUUUCUUUUCCUGCAUUAAAUUAUUUUCUGGAUCUUUUUUCGUCGUUCUAAUUUUAACAAUUACUAUCCUGGGCACAGUAAAGAAUGCACUCUUCAUGAAGGCACUGAUGGUUUUCAUCAAAGGGGCAACGAUUCGAAUGGAUUCGAAGUGGCGAAGGUAGGGAAGGAGCAAACCAGGAAGUUGAUGUUUCACCACAUGGAAGGCGACCGCAAGAAAUCCUAUAAAUAGGCAUUGCUUCUAUGAGCUAUGCCACCAAACCACUUCGAUAACCAAACAGAUCACACCAAGCUCCCGCUAAGGACGUCCCUAAGAACGUGAGGAGUGGUAGACGCCAUCUUUUUACCGGCAAGUGCUUCAGAUAUCUGGGUGCUGAUCAUUUUGCAAGCGCAUGCCGUGAUCAUAUAAGGUGUAUCCUGUGUUCCAGAACAGGUCACAAAGCGUUUCAGUGCACUCUAAAGUCUGUUGGUGGCAUCAACAACAUGCUGUGUGCUCACCAUGCCUAUGGUCGCGCCUCUGUCAUCCCGUCGUCGUUCCCUAUACGGAGGAUUAGUAUGCACGUAGAAAGCUUCGCCACAAUGCUAUACUUGCCGAUAUUGUUCAACCGGCAAACCUCGGGCACACGCCACAACAAACAAUCUCUAAUGCGCUUGCGGGGCGGUUUGGUGACUAUCCGACUGACUUCAUCGUGGCGCGACACCGCGAUCACAAUUUUGCGAUGUUCUUGUCGGCGUGGGUUUCGGCGGAGAGACUUGUCAGGAGGCAGGUUAUUACCCUAGAAAGCUUUUGGCUAAAUUGUUAUAAGUAGGGAUAGUAUCGGCACACAAUGCCAUACCGACUGCCCUGCAAGGCAUGGAUUAGAUUGAGCAAUCUUCUGUUUGAGUGCUGGUCGAUACCCAGAGUGGCUGCCAUCGUCAGAGGUUUUGGGCGAUUUUUGAGAGCUGAUGAGAACUCCAAAUCGAUGAACGAUUUGCGGGCGUACCGAUGCCGGGUGGCUAUCCAUGCGCUGACGAAUGUCCCCUAGAAUGUGUCGUUGAUCAUGGGAGAUGAGAUGUUUCCAAUCAUGGUUACUAUUGAGAGCUGGGAGGAGGAUCACGAAGCGACUGCGCAGCCCCCACCCCCGCCACCCCCACCGCAAGGGAGGGCUAACAAUAACGUAUUCCCUAAUCAAGCACCCUUGCAGCAAGGACAUGGCGGUGAGGAUGAUGAAAUGGGAGAUGUGGAGAUAGAGAAUCCUAAUGCUGGAUUAGAGCGAACCGAUUGGAGAGCUCGAUUAAUAGUCAGAGGAGAUGAUCCCCCAAAGCUACGCAUCCUGCCGCUAAUGCACCAAGCAGCCAGUUUGAUCAUACUCCUUCAGCAGGCAGCACCCAAGGCCGUCCGGUCGUCGCUGCGGUCUCGACGCAGGUUGUCGCUGUGGUCUCGGCACGGAGAUGGUCGCCCACUGGGCGGGAUCCACUGGACUCCCUGCUGUCACGGUGCGGAAGAAGAAGUCUAUCGGCAGGCAGCAUCUAAGCUCCUCCGGCUGCAGCUACUCCUCCAGCAGCAGCUGCCGUCUCGCUAGGCUCCGUACUAACUACACUCCUCUGGCCGUUGCAGGCAGCGCCCACGGUCUUCCAGCCGUCGUUGUCGCCCAUGCUCCUUCUCCGGCUGUCACCACUGGCGAGGAGGGACAUCUCGAACCUUGCCAUCGCCGCUGCAGCCUCAACUUUCACCUGGCGCACGCUUUUCGAAAGAGUGAGCUUUAAGACCUACUCAUGUCAGGAUUCGAUGGAUGAAGAUGCCGAGACUUUCACCUCUUGGGAAUGCAUUUUCAAAUUUGGUCCUCUCAAUGGACCUGACACACCUCAUUACCCUUUGGCUUUUUCCGUUGAGAGUUUCGAGGGAUAUUUUCAUUUGGUGGGUGGCCCUACUUUUGACCUGCUUUUUUCAAAGAAGCCGUGGAUAAUGAUUUCUUUUGGAGUGUGGGUAUCCGUACCAGCUCUGGACUUUGGAGGCCCACCGCGCCCCCACUUCGGGUCCACCUUCACAGUGCUUUUAGAAGAAUAUCGGCAGGUUUUGGUCUUCAGUUUUGACUUUUUUGUUUAUGCCGCAAUAUUUUUUGGCGCAUAACCCAUAUUUUGGCGCAACAUUUUCGGCUGGGUUGGGGCCCACGUUCCUUUGUGACGUCCUGGGAAUCAACUUGCUUUUAUACCAGUACCUGGUAUUUCGCACCGAUUUGACGACGAGCCAGGUGUAUUCCACUCCGCUUACUCCACGUCCGCAUCUAAUUCGAAGUAUCAUCAAGCUUACUCGAUAUCGUGUCUCGAUGGUUCGAGUUUAGGGACCCAAGUGACCCCAUCGCUGCCGAUUCACACUCCUGGAGCUGGUGUUUCUACAUGUUUGAGCCCCCGACUAGUCAACGUCCACUCGGGUUCUAUAACUCAGAAAGCCAUUGCUAGGAAGACCAACGCUUCGGGAGGGCUUUGGGACAGAUGGACUCGAGGAUACGCACUACUCUGUGAGAAGGAAGGUAGCGAAGAAAAGCAAAAAGUAUGGGGUGCUUCUUAGUGACUCUAACACGUGAGCAUUCUAGGCCUUUCUCCGGGGACGUGCUUGAGAUCUGUAGCUUCCCUUAGUGCUCUUUUUUGGGACUGUUGCUUUUUGUUUAGUUAUGUUUAACAUCUGUAGUUGAAAUAUUAGGGAAUUAGGAGACCUCGGUAAAAGACGUCACUACAACAAAAACGGUCUGUAGCGACACUUUUAAAUAUCUGUUUAGGUCAAAAAAAAGUACUGCCGGCUAAAUUACCGAAACUUUUAAAAAGUGUUGCAAUACGUGGGGUCGCCAGGCAUAUAAUGACUGAUAAAAAGUGUCGCUAUAACCUAAAAAUGUGCCGCUAGUUUAGCAACACUUAUUUAAGCAUCUAGCAAUCGUCGAAAUUCUAGCUCGUUGGCUGCGGUGGCGGAGGAGGACGAGAGGGAAGGGCCCUUCGUCUAGGAUUUCAGUAGAUUGAGUUAGGGGAGAAGAGGAGAUGGUAAUCGAUUUUUCUUUUUUUCCUUUUCUAUUUGGAAUCGGGCCAAAUGGGUUGGGUAGGGUUGGUUGAGUAUAGUAACCUUUUAUUUUUUAUUAGAUUCGGCUUUAUAUUUAGCAUUAGUAGAUGUUUUUCUAACUUUUGACAUAAAUGGGACGCUUAGAACAAAGUGUCCCAAAUAUGUGUCCCUAUAAUCUAAUUCUGUUGUAGUGCGUGCUGUGAAAUGUGUGGUGAGCUCACUGAAAAAAGCGGUAGUUUGUUUGCAAGAAACGAAAGUUACCUCCUUCUCUCUUUCUUUUCUGCAAAGCUUUUGUGGGUCUUUUUUCUAUAAAUUUCAAUCUAUAGAAGCCGUUGGCACUUCCGGUGGGAUUUUGACGUGCUGGAUCUUCUUAGUAUUUUUCCUCAAUGAAGCCUACCCCAAAAAAUUCUUCGUUACUACACGCCUUAUCCAUGUCCAAAGCGGCACUACCAAUAUUUAUGUGAGACCCCAGAUAGUCCUAUAUAUAUGAUAAAAUAGGGCUAAACUCUUAACCAGGCUUAAGCAUUUUGGCUGGUGGCAAGGCCCAAGAGAUUGAGUUAAGCGGGCUAGGGCGGGAGUAGUCCAAAGAUGGGUGACCUCCUGGGAAGUUGGGACGUCACAGUUGGUAUCAGAGCCAAUUACCAGCCGGAAGUGUGAGAUGAGUCUCGGCUGAGCCGGGGUCGGAAUGACAAGGCUAGCGAGACGAGUCUCACAUCGUCUGGUACUUGUGAGUCUGAGCCUGACGAGAACGUCAAUGCGUAAAGGAGGGGAGAUUGUAAGACUCCAGAUAGUCCUAUAUAUAAGAUAUAAUAGGACUAAACUCUUAACCCGGCUUAAGUAUUUUGGGUGGUAGUAAGGCCCAAGAGGUUAAGAGAGUUAAGCGUACUAGGGCGGGAGUAGUCCUAGGAUGGUGACCCCCUGGGAAAUUGGGGCGUCACAAUUUACGGCCCUCCUACUUAGGAGAGUAAGGUAGAAUUUUGUACUGAAUUAGUCAAUAUCAAGAACAUUUACAGAGGUUGUUGGGUUAUUUGCGGGGAUUUUAAUUUUACUAGAUGUCAGACGGAGCGCAAAGGUAAAACCUAGAGUGUGAAAGCUUCGAAGAUGUUCAACUAUUUGAUUUGAGAUCUUGAGGUACUGGACUUGCCAAUGAAGAACCAGGCUUACACCUCGUCGAAUAUGCAAAGUAGCCCAACCUUUGCCAAACUCUACCGAUUUCUCAUCUCAAUUGACUGGGACUAACAGUUCCCUCUCUCUGCGGUGGAGGCUAUGCCCAAACUAACCUUAGAUCACUAUCCUAUUCUACUUUCAACAGGAAGUACAACCAAGUGUAGGAUGUUCAGACUGGAAGAGGUUUGGUUACGUAAUGAAAACUUUGUUAAAAGCAUUCCCGGAUGGUGGACGAAAAUUCAGCGUAAUGAUUCCGCGCUUCUCUUUUUUAGCACCAAACUCAGACACUGUCGGAAGCAGAUUAGGAGAUGGUGUACUUCGAACUUUUAUAGCAUUUUAAAAUCCAAAUAUGAAGUUAUACAAGAGAUACAGAAGAUUGACUUGUUGGAAGAGGAAAGUCCGUUGGCAGCGGAUCUCCUAGAGAGAAGAGCGGCUCUUAAGGCACGUCUCUCCUUGAUCCUCAAAAAUGAAGAAGGACUCUGGAAGCUCCAAGCCAAACAGCAUUGGUUGAAGGAAAGGGAUGGUAAUACCAAAUUCUUUGAUGCAAUAGCCAAUGGUAGAAUGCGUUCGAACGAGAUUGGGGUGAUCGUAGACGAAGGUAAUAGAUUUAUUAAGGAAGCAGACAAGCAACACUAUUUUUGGCGCAAAUUUAAAGAGCUUUACAACCCGAAGCCCCGUACCCCUGACUCUGUCGGAGAUUGGAGUGGGUUAUUCCAAACCAGACGGCUCUCUAAACCUGAUCUCUUAACUAACCUCUUCGACUUAGACAAGAUCAAAACGAUAAUGUUUCAGCUCGAAGGGGACAAAGCACCUAGACCAGAUGGCUUCCCUUUGAGCUACUACUAGACCUUUAGGGAUGUUGUCAAGAAUGAUAUUUUGCUAAUCUUCCAGGAACUUCAUGAAGGUCGAUUAUCUACACGCGCUAUAGAUUAUCUUACAUUUGUCUUAUCCCAAAAAAAGGAGCGGUGAGGGGCAAUGAUUUUAGGCCUAUUAGUCUUCUGAACAGGAUUUAGAAAAUUAUCUCAAGGUCUUAGCCAACCGCCUAGAAGAAGUAAAACAUUAUCAAAUCUCACCUACACAAUCAACUUUUUUAAAAGGGCGAAUGUUGGCCGAUUCGUUCGUAACUGCUCAUGAAGCAAUGGCUUGGGGAUUCAAGGCAGGUGUGGAGGGUGUUGGGGUAAAAGUAGAUUUUGAAAGGCAUACGAUACUAUCAGUUGGUCUUUCCUUAAUAAGACUUUAGAACUACUGGGCUUCAACAAUAAAUGGUGUGGGUGGAUUAGGGAAUGCAUUUGUAACUCUAAGAUGGUCGUCCUAGUUAACGGUGCAGCUUCUAAUUGGUUCAAACCAAGAAGGGGAGUUCAACAAGGCGAUCCUUUAUCCCCCUACCUCUUCCUUCUAGUGGCUGAAUGUCUUGCUCGGAUAACUGAAAGGGCUGAACAUUUUAAUCUUCUCAAAGGGAUUGGCCCCAUGAGUGAAUGCACUGUCUCUUAAAUACAAUACGCUGACGAUACCUUAUUCUUCUGUGAGGCAAAGAAAAGAUUCAUGCAUAACCUCAAGUUUUUGUGAAAUUUAUUUGAGUGGGUGUGAGACCCCAAAUAGUCCUAUAUAUGAGAUAUAAUAGGGCUAAAACUCUUAACCCGGCUUAAGCAUUUUGGGUGGUGGCAAGGCCCAAGAGGUUAAGAGAGUUAAGCGUGCUAGGACGGGAAUAGUCCUAGGAUGGGUGACCCCCUGGGAAGUUGGGGCGUCACAGUUGGUAUCAGAGCCAAUUACCAGCCGGAAGUGUGAGAUGAGUCUCGGCUGAGCCAGGGUCUGGAUGACGGGCUAGUGAGAUGAGUCUCACAUCGUCUUAUACUUGUGAGUCUGAGCCUGACGAGGACGUCAGGGCUUAAAGGAGGGGAGAUUGUGAGACCCCAAAUAGUCCUAUAUAUGAGAUAUAAUAGGGCUAAAACUCUUAACCCGGCUUAAGCAUUUUGGGUAGUGGCAAGGCCCAAGAGCUUAAGAGAAUUAAGCGUGCUAGGACGGGAGUAGUCCUAGGAUGGGUGACCCCCUGGGAAGUUGGGGCGUCACAGUGGGCCUCUGGUAUUAAGAUUAAUAAAGAGAAGUCGGAACUACACUACAUGGGAAGCAAAGACAGAAAAGCUAAUCGAAUCGCUGAUAUCUUGGAGUGCCGAAUUGGAAGUUUGCCUACUAGAUAUUUGGGCCUGCCUUUGACCUUCAGGUUGCUUAGAAAAGUUGAUUGGACCGUUGCCAUUGAUAAAUUCCAAAGAAGGAUUGACGGAUGGCAGGCAAAACUCCUUUCUACUAACUCUGGUUAAUUCGGUGCUCUCUAACCUGCCACUACAUUUUUUCUCUAUUUUCAAAGCACCAAUUUGGGUCUUAAAGCGUUUGGAGGCUUUGCGCAGAGACUUUUUCUGAAAAUGACGGGCACGUUAUACAGGGGGAUACUACAUGAUUACUUGGAAAACCGUGUGUAUGAAUAGGGAUGAAGGAGGAUUAGGUGUCAAGGAUUUGGCCACCAUGAAUGAUGUCCUUCUAACUAAAUAGUGGUGGCGCCUUCUUACCAAACGAGGACCACAGUGGACUAAACUGAUCAAAAGCGUAUACUAUAGCAGACAACGAAUGCUUUUCGAAGGCUAGUCUUUUCGACCGGCCUCACAAUGGUGGAAGAACGUAGUAGAUUUGAAGGAAGUCUUUAAAAGCAGGUUGAGUUACAUGCUAGGGGACAGACAUCUCAUUUACUUCUGGGUUGAUAGAUGGUGUGGCAACACCUCCCUAAAGUCGCUCUUUCUCGAUAUUUUUCGGUAUGUUGACACUAAAGAGGUCCGAGUCAACGGAUGUUUCUCUAUAUCCUGUGAAGGAUUGACGGAUGGCAGGCAAAACUCCUUUCAGCUAACUCUGGUUAAUUCGGUGCUCUCUAACCUGCCACUACAUUUUUUUCUCUAUUUUCAAAGCACCAAUUUGGGUCUUAAAGCGUUUGGAGGCUUUGCGUAGAGACUUCUUCUGAAAAUGACGAGCACGUUAUACAGGGGGAUACUACAUGAUUGCUUGAAAAAACGUGUGUAUGAGUAGGGAUGAAGGAGGAUUAGGUGUCAAGGAUUUGGCCACCAUAAUGCCCUUCUAACUAAAUGGUGGUGGCGCCUUCUUACCAAACGAGGAUCACAGUGGACUAAAUUGAUCAGAAGCGUAUACUAUAGCAGACAGCAAAUGCUUUUCGAAGGCUAGUCUUUUCGACCGGCCUCACAAUGGUGGAAGAACGUAGUAGAUUUGAAGGAAGUCUUUAAAAGCGGGUUGAGUUACAUGCUAGGGGACAGACAUCUCAUUGACUUCUGGGUUGAUAGAUGGUGUGGCAACACCUCCCUAAAGUCGCUCUUUCUCGAUAUUUUUCGGUACGUUGACACUAAAGAGGUCCGAGUCAACAAAUGUUUCUCUACAUCCGGUUGGAGGUGGAGAAAGAUCCUAAGAGGUGCCAAACGAUACUCGUAGUAUAGCAAGCAAAAUAUUAGGGAGUUGAAGAAUCACCUUGCUAAUGUUUCCCUUACUAAUCAUCCUGAUGGGGCUCAAUGGAGAUGGAAUCCCGAAAAUAGGUUUACAGUUAAGUCGGAGUAUUCGCUCAUCAGAUUUGGGGGAGUCCUGGAUACUGUGACGCUUGGCAUCUGGAAAAUGAAAAUUCCAGCUAAAGUCAAAAUUUUUCUCUGGAUAGCAUUAAAGAAGAGAUUGCCUACCGGGGACAACCUACUUAAAAGGGGAUGGGCUGGUAAUAAUGUUUGCGUAAUGUGUGGAGUAGAGAUGGAGACUGUCAACCACCUGCUAGUGAACUGCGUCAUUUCUAAGUACCUCUUUGUUUCGCUUCUUGGAGAAUUCCCUACCCUUCCCUUGCUCGAUGACGUUUAUACUAUCUGGGAGGAGCUGCGGGGAAACAACACACCCACGGAUAGAUUUAAGGCUCAGAGUCUUGUGGCGGCCUUAUGGUGGACAAUUUGGGGUGAUAGAAAUAGCGUAAUUUUUUGAAACCUACCCUUUGAUAUUUUCUCUGCUGCCCAUCGUGUUGAGAUACUGGUGAAGGAGUGGGCCACCUUCUAUUGAGCUAGGGGACGUGUGUGUUGUACCACCUAUUCUUUCGACGUGUGUUUUUGUAACUAGUUUUGUUUUCCAAUUUCAUUUUGUUUGCUUUUUCUCUCCUAGGCCCUUGCUGCCUCACUCUAUAUAGCUAAAUUUAUCUUCUUAUUGAAUGAAGCGGGUAGCGUGCUACCUCUUUCUCAAAAAAAAAAAAAAUUAUCAUAUAUAUUUCACAAAAUGGAUUAAAAUAGCUUAUGCUAAAUACAAGUAAUGUAGCUCGACAAGAUAGAGAUGUAAGUACUGAGAUUUUUACCGUCUAGAUAAACUUUCUGUUGAUGAUGUUCCUGUGUGUAAUUUAAUUACAUAAACACUCGUCAAGUUUCAGGAGAAAAUGAGCUAAAAUGGAGAAGAUACGCGAUUAUUAGUUUUCACUUAAGUGAAUAGUAACUCCGGUUUUCUGGAGAAGCCACGGAGUAGAGUUGGCUUUCGGCGCGUAUCAAACUCCGUUCAUAGCGAUCCAAUAGCUCGUUUCGAUCGGUUUAGCUAUUCUGGAACUAAUGCCGCUAACGGAUUUCAGAUCUGAUGCACGGUUUUCGAGAAAAAGAGGUUUCAUUGGAUUAUAUAUAUAUGGUAUAUAUAUAUGUGUUAUAUGGUGGAAUGUAAUGAAGGUGGGUUUUGUCGCAAAUCGGCAACCAAACCAGAUGAAACAACACGGUAGCUUCAAUGCCCCCGUCGUGCUGAACGCGAUGGCGCAAUCCGUUCAGAAAUCCGAUGAAUGGAUUGCCGGAUAUCGCAUGAUGUUCGGGAAGGGGUCUAAUGUGACAAAUUGGAAUUUUCACAAAAGUCCCCAUAUUUUAUGUACCGAAACGCGCGAAAUCGGACGACGUGGUGCGUACAUGUAAAAUACACGCGCGGUGAGGGGCUGGGAUGAUAAUAUUGAUUUUUGGGGGACUUCUCUGCAAGAUUUCAGGUUGUAUAUAAUGUUUGUACUAGGGUUUCUUAGCACGAAACCCUUAGAUCUAGCCGACUUGCUCCCCCAGCUAACCCUAGCCGUUACCUGUACCACUGUGCCCUCGCCGUGCGCGCGCCCUGGCCGCCGGUGAGCAUCCCCGGCCGCCGGAAAAGCUCUGCGUGGCCUUCCCUCAACCUCUCCUCCACCAUCUCCUCCACCUAUCCACCACUUCAUCUCUGCCUAUGGACCACCAGGGAGAUCCUCACCUCGGGCUCCCUCCCUCGGCCGUGCCCCACCUCUGGUAGCCUCCCCCGUUGGUUGCCACCGCCGUCGCGCACCGGCUGUGCCGGUCUGGGGAGCUUGCGGCCAGCCUACUCAGGCUCUGGCCGAGACCAGCACAGUCGUGGGUUUACGCGCCGCCGCCGCCUUGUGUCCGACGUGCCGCCUCCCUCCGACCUCCACCAGGCUAUCGCCGCCGACCGGCGCCCGCCCUGCUCGCCGCCGUCGCCGCUCCUGGAAGCCUGCGGCCACCCCAGUCAAGCUCGGGCCGAGCCUAAACUGGCUCACGGCCGGCGAGCCACCGCCGCUUCUGUGAUGGCCGCGCUUCCCUUCUGGGUCUCCGACGACCCAUCAUCGCCGUCUCCGCCGUCCCGACUGGCCGCCGCCGCCGCUCAUGGCUCUCGGCGCCCGCUCCAACCUUGCUGUGCGGGUCUGGGCCGAGCCGAGGCCAGGUUGGCCUCUGUGAGCCGCCGCCGCCCACCGUUGGCGGCACCGUCUACCUGCGGCCUCCGGAGACUAGCCUCUGCCGCCCCUGGGCCCCUCCGGCCGCUGCAGUGACAGCCGCGGCCUUUUGAGCCCGAGCCGAGCCUUCCGCCGCCAACGGCUCGGGUUGCUCCAACGUCUCCAUCGCAGCCUUCCGCCGCCGGCUAGCGUGAGCGCCGGCUCCGCCUGGCCUCCGCACUCGUCCAUGGCCAGCUACCCCGUCGCCGGAGCCCCUGGUCAACCAGGUUAAGCCCAAGCUCUCCUCGGGUUGGCAGACUUAGGGGAUCAUCACCCGAUCGUCGUCGCCGCCUUCCGUCGCCUGCUGACGCGAGCCCCGGCCCCCUCUGACCUAGCGCACAUGACCCUGGCCGGCCUGCCGCUGUCCGCCCGCCGCCGGCCAUCCCUGUGCCCUGCCUAGCUCCGGUAAGCUUAGUUUAGCUUUUCUGUGCACUGUUAGGGGUUCCGAUCACCUUUUCGGUGACCCGGGGCCACUCCGAGUCGUCCGAAGGUGAGCACGAUGAUCCUUGUUCAGUGCCGAUCAUCGUGGCCACCUUCAUUGGGGUCAACGAACCCCUGGUUAGCGAGAUAAGCAUGUUUUUCCUGCUGUGCGUGCUGUUUUACUGAAGUUCGCGUCACUCGUGCGCUUCCCACAGUAGCCGGCAGUGCUCUGAAAGGUGAGCACGGCCUCCAGCAUGCUGAAACCUAUCAGCGAGUACGACGGUUUGACUAAUCGACCUCCGAUUUUCGUGUACGGACCAUAAAAGUCCCGAAAUCGCAUGGAAUAAUGCGAUUUUGGGUAGUCGGGAGGACUUUUAUGCAUUUUGGCUCAUCGUGGUUGCUGUUGGCAACAUUUGUGGGUUUUCUCUGGACUGAUUAUUCAAGGCCCUGGCCCUUGCGAAAAUCAAAUAUUGAUUUCCGAAGCGUUUCUCGACGAAAUCCGCCAACGGAACGCGGGUUUGAUUUGGAAUUCUUUCGACGGUGCUUCGUGGUGAAUUGUUUAGUCGCUGAGCCAUAUUGGCUGGUCACUCGUAUCAUUUCGAGGGUUCAGAAAUGAUGGGUGAGCGACAGUGGGUUCCGGUAUCGAAUAAACACUUCCGGGAACCCGGAUCCGAACGAUUAUCCGACGAUAAUUGUUUGGAGGCGAGAUUUUGUUUUUGCUGCCAAGUCACACUAAAAUAGGUGUUUAGUGGCAGCGUAUGACUUGUAUCUUGAUCGGUGUGUUUCGGGAGAGUUCGUGGGUCCCGGCAGAGUCCCGGUGCGAUUACGGGACUGCCGACAAGUUACAGUAAUCGGUUUUGAGAAACCGAUCUCCGUGGGUUUGUUUGUGGGAUUAUGAUUUAAUGGUUAUUACUUAUGGGUUAGACACUAACCUGGUGGACCUUCCGUAGGUCAGGUUGACAUUCUUUCGCAGUCAGGAGACAGGCGCGACAUCCUUACAGGUGGGUACUUCGAUCCGACGUCGGUACAGUGGUGCACGCUCGGUGAUGGUUUCUUACCCUUGCUCUUUUGAUAUUAUCCAUGCAUAUACUAUAUGUUGAACUUUGCACCUCUAUUGUUUACAUUACACUCUACUCAGAUGUUCCCAUGCUUAGGAUCAAGUGUAGGAGUAGAGUAGUUAUAUUUACUUGUGAUAGAUGUUGACCUAGUUGGUCGGCUGUUACAUUCAGUAUCCGUUGACCUUGUUAGUCGGUUCUCGUACUUUAUAUCAGUGACCUGGUUGGUCGGUUCUUAUAUCUCGCAUCUAUGACCUAUUCGGUCUGUUCCUUGACUUAUGUCGUUUGAUGACCUUUGAGGUUGGUGUACCCUGAGGGGUAGGAUUGUCGGCUAGUGGCUGACGGUUAGUUCUAGAUUAUACUUGUAUAUCUUUGAUAGGAUGUUGAGUUGUUCCGUCCUAGUGGACCUAAGUGGUCGGUACUUAUAUUCCUUACUGUUCAAUGACCUAUACGGUCGGUUUACCCUGAGGGGUAGGAUUGUCAGCUAGUGGCUGACGGUAGUUCCAGAUUAUAAUGAUACAUUCUUGUGACCUAUUGACAGUAUUUGCAUACUUUUGGUAGGAUGUUGAGUUGUUCCAUCCUAGUUGACUUGAGUGGUCGGUUCUUGUGCUUCCUUAUAGUUGAUGACCUAUGCAGUUGGUGAGCCCUGAGGGGCGGGAUUGUCGACUGGUUGUCGAUGGUUGCCUUUCAGCAUAUCAGCAUUGAUCGCCCGAGACUCGUUCGCAUUUCACGAACACCAGCGGUCUGAUCCACCGCGGCUGGAUGUUCUUUUCCGAAAAAGUGGUUGCAAGUGCCAACCCGUGAGCCCAGCGGUCAGGACUAGGUUAUAUGCAGGUAGAGUGGUAGUGAGCUUUUGCCUGAGGUCCUUAGACCGACACGGAGGUUUAGAUUGGGUAUAUUUGGACUUCUUGUCCAGUUAACGCAUAUAGCUAUAGUAGCGGUUGUUGUUUGUAUACCUUCAGUUCUUUCAUUAUACUGUCUUGCUACUAUAGUUUUGUCGCAUGUAUACUUUCAGUUGUUCAUUACAGUAGCGGUAGUUAUACUUUUUAUAGACAUAUCUCAUUGUUCAUUAUCGUUGCUACUGUAUUUUCACUUACCCAUACUGUUGUUUAUCUUUCUGAUCCGGUGAGUACUCUUCGCCUUCAUUGGCUUGCGGUACCCACUGGGAGGGGAGACAUGUUUACAUGUUCUCACCUCCCCCACCAUUUUUCAGAUAUCGCGGGUGGUGAGAGUUGAGAUGAGACGUGAGACACGUUUGUAGCGGUCGAUAGAGCUUCCGACCCAGGUUAUUGGUUUAAUUACUACCUUAUUUAUUUAUGUUGAUAUCUCUUAGACAUAUGGUUCAGUUGGUUUUGUUUACUUAGAUAUUUAUACACAUGGUUUUAUGAAGUUAAUUAAAACACUCGUGGUUUUCAUGUAAAGGAUUGUAAUCGAUUUUCCACCCCUCGUGAUAGUGUGUUUUAAAGAAAAAGGGUUUUCGUGUGGGAAACAGUUUUAAAAAGUUUUCUCGUGGUUUUCUUGAUCUAGUAUUUCAAAACAAGUUUCCAGAUAGGAAACAUUUCAACUGAUAGUUGUGAAUUUAUAUUCAAAACUCUGUUUAUGAACCUGUGGUGAAUGGUGUAUGAAUGUAUGAAUAUUUGUAUGUUCAGUGGUAGUGGUUGUAUCCUGUUUGUAUUCUUGUACUUGUACGACGCCGUGCAAAUACAGAGGAGACUCUGUCCGUAUGAACAGUGGACUCCCUGUAUUUAUGGCGGAUCUCGCAUACCCUGGAGGUCAGGUUUUCAAAAAAAGAAAAAAAAAAAGAAAAAAAAAGUUUUCGCUGUAUUUUUAUUAAAAAGGAACCCCGGGGCGUGACAAGAGAACUGUGCGAAGAGGGCCUAAUCCAAGAAGAUUCUUAAUUAAGAGUAUGCUAAGGUCUAGUUUAAAAAUGCUUUCUCGAGAUCUCCUUUUUUUAAUCUCAUAGAUCAACUACUUUAAAAUAGGAAAAACUUCAAAUACUCUCCUGUGAUUUCGCACUUUAUUACUUUAGUAUCCUCUGGUUUAAAGUGUGUCAAGUUAGUACUAUGUGGUUUCAUACUUUCACACUUUAGUACCCUGUGGUUUAAAGUGUUCAAGUUAGUACCAUGUGGUUUCGCACUUUUUUACUUUAGUAUCAUGUGGUUUAAUAUUGCGUUAAAUUAUAUACAAAAACUUCCGAUACUUAAUCUAGGUUUAUCGAAUAUUUAUUUUAGUACCAUUUAGUUUUAAUUUUGCCACUGAUUUAACGAAAAAAAUAUUCUGAAAUGGAUAAGAAAAAGAGAAAAAUGAAACCAUAGGGAACUAACUUGAUACAAAAAUAAAACCACAUAGACACAUAGUACUAACUUGAUACACUUUAAACCACAUGAUAUUAAAGUGAAAAAGUGCGAAAUUAUAGAGUACUAACUUGAUACACUUUAAAUUAACUACAGAAUACUAAAGUGAAAAAGUACGAAACCACAUAGAAGUAUUUGAAGCUUUUCUUUUAAAAUAAACAAGGAGAGUCAACGGUUCAGAUUUGAAAAAUUAGGGACUUUUUAUAUACUUUUUGUUCACGUAGCUCGUAGCUGCAUGUGAUUCCGCGCGCCUCUCAACAUUACGUAACUGGCCAUAUAUAGACUUAAAUAUAGUAUUAACUAGUGAUAGCCUGCCCUUGGCGGCGAAAAAUUUAUAUAAUUUUUAAAAUCUUUUGAAUAGACUAUUCAACAUUAUUUACUAAAGUUGGUUAUAAAAUUUAAGCAAAACGGAAUUGAAUAAUUAAAUAUUUACAAUUUAAAAUUUUUUUAUUAUCCAAAAUUUAAAUUUAAAUUUAAAAUAUAAAAUGUUGAAGCUUAAAAUUUAAAUUUUAACAUAUGAAGUUGAAAUUUCAAUAUUUAGAAUUUAAUAUUUAAAUUUUUAAAUUCAAUUUAUAAUUUAAUAUUUGAAAUAUUGAAAUUUGAAAUUUAAAGGUUAGAACAUAAAAUUUAAAAAAAUUAUAAUUUAUCUUAAUUACUAAAAGUAAAUUUUAAAAGUUUACAAUUGUAAAUUUUAAAUAUUAGAUUUUAUAUGAAAUUCUGCUGAAUUCUAUUUUUUUUCCCGAAUUCUGAAUUCUAUCCUUUUAUAUUCAUCAAAUAUCUUCAUGCAAUUCAGAUCAGAAUUUUAAAUUCUAAACUUUUAUAUGCAUCGAAUAACUUGCUGCAAUUCUGAAUUCUGAAUUAUGAAUUCCCAAUCCUAAAUUCAGAUAGAUAAUUCAGAGUUCAGCUAGACUAUCCGAAAUUCAACUAGGUAAUUCGAGAUUCCAUGAAUAAUAUAGAAAAAAUAAAUAUACUUUACUCAAACUCCCCUAGCCAGUUUAUUUCUGAUUUAUAAUUGGUAUGAAUGUAUACAAAAAACGCUUACAAAAAAUAUUUGUAUGCACUUGGAGGUCUGCUAAUAAAAAUAAUGUUUUCCUUAACAAUCCUGCGAUUUUUUUUUAACAACUUAAGAUUGUAAUUUCUGAAAAUUAGUGUUUUUUUUUUUUUGAGAAAUUGAUUUCUGCAAAUUAGUGUUAUGCAAUGCUAAGAGGGCUUUACAAACUACCACCCAUUAAAUAGUUUUAGGAACAAAGUGAAAACUAAGAAUUAUAAAUUCAAAUUGUCAACAGGCAAACUAAGUAGCUACUUUUCAACGCUAAAUAAUUCUUGUUAUCUACUAAGUAUCAGAUGGGAUAGCAAAAAAUCGCAACUUAUGUAUCAAAAUUAGGAAUGCAAAAACCCUAAAAAGGAAAAAUUAAGCCGUCUUGACUAAAACCCCAAAAAGGUAAGGCUCAGUUAAGUCGGCAAAAAUGCUCAUAAGCACAGGAUAGCAAUAGGACCAACAGAUUACCGUAGGAGGAACAUGUGCGCAACGACGAAGGAUAAGAACAGUAGGAAGAGGUUGCCUAUGAAUAGACCGUCCAAACUUUCGCUUGUUCAAAGCCAUCAUUUUCCACGUUUUUCUCUACUUAUCAUCAUCGUCUCAAAGAAGAGAUACAAAAUAGCAAGAUUCAGAAAGGAAUGACGGAAAUUAACCAAGUAGAAUUAGUAAAACAACAAUGUAUCGAAACAGUCAAGUCCAUUCAAAGCUACCACAUUUAAUCCCAAACAAAGACAGGAAUAGCAUAUUUGAGUACAAACAAUUAUCUGUAAAACUGAGUCCAUCCAAAGCUACUAUAUUUAAUCCCAAACAAAGAUACGAAUACCAAAUUUGAGUAUAAAGAAACAUCUGUAAAACUGCUUUCUCACAAAUUAUCCAACAACCAAUCAGAAAUAAAAUAUUAGAGGAUCAUAUUUGGCUACCAACUAAACAUGAAGUGACCUAAUAUCACACCUCGUGCAAGUAAAGAAUGUAAAAAAAGAGAACUGUUGGCAAACAAAAUUAAACUCAACAGUAUCUCAUAUCAAACUAUAAACAAUCAAUUAGUCAUCAACUUCACAAAUAAUUAAAGCCUCAGCAAAAUAGUAACUAACAGUUCAACUAAUUCAUAUAACUAAAGUAAGAAUUAUCUAGUAUAUAUCAACCAAUACUUUUACUAAAAAUCUAUUUAUAUGAGAAAGAUAAUCUAAUCAAAGAUUUUGUUUUGAUCUCAGAAUUGUUUUAUGUUUUUUCAAUACAGUAAAAACAUAGGUUUUGUUUUUUUUCCUAAUUUGCAAGCUCUCAUGGUUACCUAAAAUACUUUAUUAAAAGUAGAAACACAAACAAAGCCAAAAAAGGUGGCAACAUAGCAGAAAUCAAUUAACUUGCGCAGCAUAAGAAAAUAAAGCAACCCUACAUCAACUGCCACCUCACUAACAAUUCACAUGAUCAAAAAUGAAAACGAUGAAGAGGGAAAAGUAUGAAAUUAAAUGCAGUCGCCAAUAAAAUAAGCUGUAGAAACCUUUCGCCUCAUGAUGUUUUUACAUGACUCGCAUAUUAUCUUAUUCAACAUGCAGGAUCAUUUCGCAACAGCGAGAAAGAAGACGUGCAUAAUCUGAAAUAUAUAGGUAUGGAUAGAUAUAUAAAUAAAUUAAUUCUUUGUCUAAAUGUGCUUUGCUGAAUCUAGUUACAUAAUAAUGGUUAACUUAUUAUUACGCUCGUAAAUAAACCUGUACCUUUUGAGAUACUUACACCUACCUGUAAAUGGAAGUUGCUAUAAUUUGCUACAGCAAUUAAGUGGAAGAAAAAAUAAACACUUUUAUUCAAAAAACUUCAUUACUAAAAGCUUACAAUCAAAGAACUUAAAUAGAAGAAAAAACUUGAGGUUUAAGAAAACCUAACUCAACACAUGUUCUCCACUACAUUCACUAUACAUGUGCUUCUAGAAACUAACUACUAUGAACUCCAUAACAUUACCCACUACUUACACAAAUUAAGGCACUAAUCACUAUUUACAUGAUCUUAGCCCACUACUUGCACAAUAGUAGGGCCACUAACAUCAUAAUAUUUGCAUCAUUUUCCAACACUCCCCCUUGAGGGCUCUUCUGAACUUCAAAAAUUUGUCAUGACAUAAAGCUUUCGUCAAUCCAUCAGCAACUUGUUCAUUGGUGGAACAAUUCUUCAUGUCGAUUUGCCUAUUGUUGAUAAGAUCCCGGAUGAAGUGAUGACGUACUUCGAUGUGUUUCAUGCGUCCGUGAAAGACCGGAUUCUUUGUCAUUGCAUUCUUUGUCGUUGCAAUGGUUGAGCGGUUGUCACAAUAUAUCUCCAUUGGAUAUUCUUGUGUUUGACAUAGAUCCUCCAAAAUUCUUCGCAAUCCACACAGCUUGACAUGCGGCCGAUGUUGCUGCUAUAUAUUCAGCUUCAGAGGAAGAUAAAGCGGUAGUAGCUUGCUUCUUUGAUGCCUAUGUGAUCGCUCCAGAUCCAAAAUUGAAGAUCCAUCCGCUUGUGCUUUUUCUGUCAUCUUGAGAACCUGCCCAAUCACUAUCACUAAAACCAACCAAUUUGAAAUUAGUAACUGGGUGGUACCAAAUACCGAAAUUAAUAGUAUCCUGAAUGUAGCGUAGAAUUCGUUUAGCAGCUCCAAAGUGAUGCUUUGUAGGAUCAUGCAUAAAUCUGGAUAUUAAGCUGACAGAAAACAUAAUAUCAGGACGUGAAUGUGUCAAAUACAUUAAACCUCCAACUAUACUUCUGAAAAUCCGUGCAUCAACUUUUCCGGUCCCAUCAUCUCUUGUCAAUUUUUCAUUUGAAUUCAUAGGAGUUGCACAUCCCUUGCAGUUCUGUAACUUAAAUUUCUUGAGCAAAUCCACUGCAUACUUUUCUUGGGUCAAAAAGAUACCAUUAUCAGUCUGCAUAACUUGAAGACCAAGAAAAUAAUGUAAAAGUCCCAAAUCCGACAUAUCAAAUUCAUGCAUCAUAAUAUUCUUGAAAUCACAAAUAAGAAGAUCUGAUGAACCUGUAUAGAUUAUGUCAUCGACAUAAACACAGAAAAUGAUAAUCUCUUUACCUUUCACCUUCAUAUAUAAAGUUAGUUCAUUCUCACUUCUAUGAAAAUCAUGUUGUCGGAAAUGGAUAUCAAGACAGCUAUACCACGCUCUAGGGGCUUGCUUCAGGCCAUAAAGAGCUUUCCUAAGCUUGUAGACUUUCUCCUCUUUUCCUUUAACAACAAAACCUUGUGGUUGUUCUACAUAAACAUCUUCAUCCAAAUUUUCAUUAAGAAAAGCCGACUUAACAUCGAAUUGAUUAACAAGCCAUAUCAUUUGAGCGGCUAAAGCUAAAAUAAUUCGAAAAGUUUCCAAACGAGCAACAGGUGAAAAUGUUUCAAGAAAAUCGAUACCGGAUUUUUGAGCAUAUCCUUUCGCCACAAGCCGUGCUUUGUAUUUUUUAACUUUUCCGUCGGCAUCAUACUUCACCCGAUAAACCCAUUUUACACCAAUUGCUGCUUUCUCUUUUGGCAUGUCAACAAGCUCCCAAGUUUGGUUCUUUUCAAUAGUUGUUAUCUCUUCAUGCAUUGCAUUCUUCCAUUCUUCUUUUUCACAAGCUUCUUCGAAACAUACGGGCUCUGCAGCCAUAAGAACAAAUUUGCAAGUUUCAUAAAUUUCUUUCAAGGAUUUUACCUUUAGAGGAGAGGUUUCCGAAUCCGACAAUGAUGAAGUUGAUUUUUCCACAUUUUCUUUCCUUUGGCCUUUUGGGGUGGCUUGUGAAGCUUCUAGUCUUCAUUUGGAAGUGUGAGCGACUUUCUUUCCUCAAUUGUCAAUGGCACCUGUGAAUUUUCAUUCCAAUCCCAAAUACUAUCUUCAUCAAAAAUCACAUCUCGACUUAUAAGAAGUUUCCUUGUUAUCGGAUUGUAUAGUCGAUAGCCUUUUGAUUCAUUACUAUAGCCAACAAAGAUACAUUUUUCAAUUUUGUCAUCCAACUUUUUACGAUUUUUAGUGUGAACAAAUGCAUAUGCUAUAGAGCCAAAAAUUUUAAAAUGGCUCACAUCGAGCUUUCUUCCACACCAAGCUUCAAAAGGUGUCAUAUUUCGUACCGCCUUAGUUGGAGAUCGAUUUAGGAGGAACACUGAGGUUGCUACAGCUUCCGCCCAAAAAUCAUUCGGUAGCUUCUUCUCUUUAAGCAUACUACGAGCCAUCUCCACUAUUGUUCGAUUUUUGUGCUCUGCGACUCCAUUUUGCUCCGGCGUAUGCUUCACUGUUAGUUGCCUGCAAAUGCCAUUUUCUUUGCAAAAAGAAAAGAAAUUAAUUGAUAGAAACUCUCCCCCUCGAUCCGUUCGAAGAGUUUUGAUGGAAUGCCCACUCUGGUUCUCGACUUGCACUUUAAAUUCUCGAAAUUUGUCAAGUGCUUCUGAUUUCUGUGCGAUGAAGUAUACCCAAUUCAUCCUGGUGAAAUCAUCAAUGAACAACAAAAAGUACUUACUGCUGUUAAAAGAAGGAGUCUGCAUUGGACCACAAAUAUCGGCAUGUAUCAACUGUAGAAGUCUAGAAGCUCUCCAAGAUUUUCCAAUGGGAAACGAAAUCCGAUGUUGGUUUCCAUAAACACAUCCAUCACAAACUUCAUUCAUACAAUCUAUUCCGGGUAAGCCACAUACAAUUUUCUUUUGACUUAAUAAUUUCAACCCAUUAAAGUGUAAAUGACCAUAACGCAAAUGCCAAAGCCAUGAUUUAUUUUUAGUGUUAGCAACCAAAGCGUGCUCAUCAAUACAUGAAAUGUCAAGUACAAACAUCUUGUUUUCAGCCAUAGAAACUUUAAUCAAAGGUAUUUGAGAUCUUUCAUGGCUAAUCUCACAAAAGUUAUCGCAAAAUUUAACAUUAUAUCCUCUUUCAAUCAAUUGUCCAACACUUAAUAAAUUGUGAGCCAAGGAAGGUACAUAAUAAACAUCAUUGAUAAACUUUUCCGUACUCUGACUUAGUUUUUAUAGCAACUGUCCAUUUUUCUUCAAUUUGUAGAACCUUAUCAUCUCCAAGCCGAACUUGUAAUUUUACAGAUUCAUCAAUGUGACGAAAAAGGUUUUUAAAUCCUGACAUAUGGUUGCUACAUCCACUAUCCAAAAUCCAUAAAUCAGCACUACUAACAUUAGAAUUCAGACAUGUAAGAAAUAGUUUACCUUCCUCUUCAUUCUUUUCUGCAUAGUUGGCUUGUUGUUUUGCUUUGGCCCAGCAAAUAAGCUUCUAUAUAACCAUAUUUCUUACAGAAAUGACAUUGCUUACUCUUAUAGCCUUGGCUUUGAUUGCUUUUCUCAUUAUCAUCUUGUCGGUAGUUUGUGUCAGAUCUUUCUCUACUAUAGCCUCGGCCUCUUCCACGACCGCGAAAACCACCUCUUCCACGGCCUCUUCCUGCAUACUUUUGGUCACCUUUUGACUUCGAAUUUUCAACCCUUGAUUCAAAUGCAUUUUCUGCACUUUUCUCUAUAGAUCUGUUUAGUCACUGCUCAUGAGCUAACAGAGAACCCAUUAUUUCAUUAAAUGAUAAUUUGACAAAUCUUUUGAUUCCUCUAUAACAGCGACAAUAUGAUCAAAUUUAGGAGGAAGACUUCUCAAAAGUUUUUCAACAACCUUCUUCUCAGAAACAUCAUCACCAAGACUUCUCAUCUGAUUAAUAAUGAUAGCAAUUCGAGAAAAGUAUUCUUGCAUACCUUCGGCAUUUUUCAUGUAGAGAUUUUCAAAUUCCUUUUGGAGAGUUUGUAGCCUCACAGUUCGAACGCGAUCAUUUCCUUGGUAUUCUUGCUUUAAAGUAGUCCAAGCUUCAUUUGAUUUGGUGGCAUUUGCAAUUCGAGGAAAAAUGUUGUCCUGCACUGCCUGUUGCAACACAAGCAAUGCUUUGGCAUCAUUUUUGCGAAGCUCCUUGAUUUGCUGUCUUAUCUGCACCUUUUGAACCUUCUAUUUCUGCAUAACCAUGCUCAACUAGAUCCCAGAGAUCUUGUGAAAUGAAAAACGUUCGCAUUUUGAUACUCAAAAAUUCAUAAUUUUCUCCAUUGAAAAUUGGAAUCAAAGAUUGAGAGAGAUUAAGUGCACUUGAGUUACUCAUGAUGAAAACAAGUGUGAUGAAAGUAUACCUCUCUUUGUACCAUCCAACUUACUAGAUUUGUGAGCCUUCUAAUUGCUUCUUGCUUCAAAGAAUACCACAACGCCCAGCCUUGAUCACAACCAGGCUCUGAUACCAAAUGUAAAUGGAAGUUGCUAUAAUUUGCUACAGCAAUUAAGUGGAAGGAAAAAUAAACACUUUCAUUCAAAAAACUUCAUUACUAAAAGCUUACAAUCAAAGAACUUUAAAUAAAAGAAGAAACUUUAGGUUUAAGAAAACCUAACUCAACACAUGUUUUCCACUACAUCCACUACACAUGUGCUCCUAGAAACUAACUACCAUGAACUUCAUAACAUUACCCACUACUUACACAAAUUAAGACACUAAUCACUAUUUACAUAAUCUUAGCCCACUACUUGCACCCACUACUUACACAAUAGUAGGGCCACUAACAUCAUAAUAUUUGCAUCAUUUUCCAACACUACCCAAUAUGAAUCUUCUUUAAAUUCCAUAGCCUUUUGACUUUGAACUCUAUAAACUAUCCAUUUGAUUGAGUAUUGCUAAAAACUGUCUUGGUAGUUAGAAUACAAUCCCAAAGCCAAAGAUGCUCAAUUUGAGUCCAUUUGAUUGAGUAUUGCUAUAAACUGUCUUGGUAGUUAGAAUACAAUUUCAAAGUACUUGAAACAAAGGGUCGGUCGCCCUCAACAGAAAGAAUGAACACACACUUACGUUGGUGCUAAUAGGUUGAGCCAUAUAUUUCGAAGUACAAAAGCAACUUGAUACAUGGUUUAUGCUGGGUUUUGCUUCUAUGUUAUUAUAGGUACCAAGAGCUAAUGAAAGAAAGUUCAAAGCUUCCAUUGUUCAAACUGAAGAAACUUAAUGCAUCAUUACCUAUACCUUCGAUACCAAGAAACUUUGUAGUUCAUUUCAUUAUUCAUUAAGGAAAGGUGCAUUGUAGUUUGGGACAAAAACAGGUGGAAGCUCAAUUGUUGCAAUCAUGUAACAUUCAAGAUAAGGACUAUGAAGAACAACAAAGAGCCGACAGCCAGCAGGAAGGCAUAGGGAACUUGCAGAAGCCGAAAACAGGGACUUGAGGAUUCCAUGGCAUAUAAUUUUUUUGCUUCGAAAAUCAGGGUGUAGGAAAAGCAAAAGAACGGAGUUUUUUCUGUAAACACCUCAAAACAAUGAUAUAACAUAACCAAGUCUUGAAAGGUUGCUAAAACAAAAAGGGAAAAAGAAAUUGAAUGCAGGUAAAAGCAAGUUGAAAACACAAAGAUUUGACAAAUCAAAGCCAAAUAUGCAGUUUGGGGAAAUCCCAAUAGUUUAAAAAACAUGAAACAAAUGUUUACAAAGAAGAGAAGAGUGAAAAGUAGCUAUGAAAAUAAAUAAAUAAAUUUUGCUCAGACACCCCUAGUCAUCAAGCAUUAUUAGAUUGGCAACGAACGGAUUACCUGGAGCUUCUGGUUUUGUGUUGCACGGAGAAGCUGUUUAGUUCUCUUACCAACAGCGCCGCAACAGACUCAACAUGGGGGUCAAACAUGCUUGAAUUAAAGCAGAAAAGCUUUAAGAUAUAGAAACAGAAAAUGGUGAGACUUCCUUCAUCUCACUGGUACUCAAGAGUAAGCAAAUGAAAUGAAAUAUAAAGGUACCAUCUUGCCAGAGACAAAAACAAAACAUUUUAAAAAAAAACACGAUUGUGAACCGAUUAAUAAGAAUUCUACUAAUCUAUACAGUACAAUGAUUUUCAAACUACGUUGACAAAAAAGUAAAACCCAAGGAACGUCAUCACAUGCAAAACUAUCAUGCAAGCGGAGUGCUACAUCGUAAAUCACAACAUUAACGGCCACAUAUGAUAAGUAGUAAAGUUUAGAAUUUGGAAUGAUCUGAAUUUGGAAUUCUGAAUUGCGCCGAGCUAUUUGAUGCAUAUAAAAGUUUAGAAUUCCCAAAUCUGAUCUGAAUUGCAUCAACAUUUUUUAUGCAUAUAAAAGGUUCGAAUUUAGAAUCCAUAAUCGCACCUGAAAGAAGGGCAAAAAAGCAUACCCUCUUGAGUUGUAUUAACGAAUAUAUAUAGUACAAGAGAUUGUCUUACUAUAGUAACAAUAACUACUAUAGUAAGAGUAUAACUAGGAUUACAUACUAUAUAAUCCUACUCUAUAGAAAGCAAUGAUACUACCCUAUAGAAGGCAAUAAUUCACAGUAUCCUAAUAUAGAUAAAAUAUAUCGUAACAUCCCCACGCAAGCUAAGCAUCCAGUGGCCGGAUGCGAAGAUUGAGCCGCAAGAUCAAAAACCAAGGGGGUGACAGGGGCUUGGUGAAAAUGUCGGCAAGUUGCUUGUCAGAAGGAAUAUGAAUUAAGGCCAAAUCACCAGACUGAACUUUUUCCCGCAAGAACUGAUGGUCAAAUUCAAUGUUCUUCGUGCGGGCAUGAAGAACAGGAUUGGCUGCAAGGUAGGUGGUGCUGAGAUUAUCGCAAUAAAUACUGAUAGAGCGCCAUAAGAAAACACGAAGGUCGCGAAAGAGUCGACGAAUCCAGACUGUCUCAGCAAGUGUGUAGGCUACAGCACGAUACUCUGCUUCAGAACUAAAACGAGAAAUGGUGGGCUGUUUCUUAGAGGACUAGGAGAUAAGAUUUGGCCCGAGAAAAAUGCAAUAUCCAGAAGUAGAGCGACGUGUAUCUGGACAACCAGCCCAAUCAGCAUAAACGAAGGCAACAAGAGAAGGAUUGUCGCAGCAAAAGAUAGGAAGGCCAUAAGACAGCGUCCCCCGAAUAUAACGCAGAAUACGCUUGACCGCCUGCAUGUGCGGUUCACGAGGUACAUAGAGAUACUAGGCAACAGAGUUGACGGUAUAUGAAGCGUCCGAUCUGGUGAAAGUGAGAUAAUGGAAAGCACCAACUAUCUAACGAUAAGUAUAUGGAUCCUCAAGAAGAUGCCCCUCAUGAAAAGAGAGACGAGAAGUUGGCGAAAGAGUAUAAACGGGCUUACUGUCAAGAAAACCAUGUCGCUGAAGCAGUUGAUGCGCAUAUUUUUGUUGAGAUAAAUGAAGACCAGAGGGGGAGCGAUGAACCUCAAUACCCAAAAAAAUAAUGCAGCGCAUCCUUCAUGGCAAAUUCGGGUUGUAAAGUGAUGAUAAGAGCAUCAAGAAUAGAUGAAGAACUGCCGGUGACAAUAAUAUCAUCAACAUACAAGAGGAGAACAAGAGUGCCAGAGGAGGAAUGACAAACAAACAUCGAGGGAUCAGCAGUGCUACCAACAAAACCAAUCUCAGAAAGAAAGGAAGUGAAGCGCUAAAACCAAGCCAGAGGAGCUUGUUUGAGACCAUAUAUCGCUUUGCCUAAACGGCAAACAUGACUAGGAAGCGAAGGAUGCACAAAGCCAGGUGGUUGUUUCAUAUAAACCUCCUCAGAGAGAGUGCCAUGAAGAAAGGCAUUUUUCACAUCAAGUUAUCGGAGAGACCAUCCAGAAGAGAGAGCGACCGAAAGAACAGUACAAAUAGUGGUCGACUUGACAACCGGAGAAAAAGUCUCAUCAAAAUCAAUGCCUUGUUAUUGUUUGUAACCCUGAGCCACUAGUCGAGUUUUGAGACGCUCAAGAGAGCCAUCCGCCUUCUGUUUGACUUUGUAGACCCAUUUACAGCUAAUAAGAUUGACAGAAGGAGCAGAAACAAGCUCCCAAGUAUUAUUGGUGAGUAAUGCAUCAAAUUCUUCAACCAUGGCAGCACGCCAACCUGCAUCCUGAAAAGCUUCAUGAAAAGUGGUAGGCUUAAUAGGAAGAGUAGUAUGUGAAGAAGCUAGGAAAGAGGUAGUCCCGGCAAAAUUCUUAGCUAUAGAUCGAGUAAGCAUAGAGUGUGUUCGGAUUGGUAACGAAGGCUUAGCAGGAUGAGGUGAAGGUGGCCUGUCAAAUUUGGAAGGCGUAAACUCAACAGGAGAAGAUGGAGUUGUAGCAGCAGUAGGUCGGAGAGUGCGUCGUCUGGUAUAGACUCGGAGUUCUGGUGGACCAGCAACAGUGGCAGCAUGUUCAUCACUAACCUGUGUGGCAUCAUAAUUCGAGGUGGAAGGAAAAGUCGAUACAGUCUCAGACGAUGAAACAGAUGCAUGUGAACCAACAUCCGUAGAAGGGCGUGUGAAGAAGAAACCAGAGAUAGCAUCAAGAGAGAGAGGACUUUCACCCAAUAAGGGAGGAUUAGAAAAAAAAAAUUGUUGAAACAUUUGAAAAUUUGAGGUAGUGGGGGAAGGUAAGGAAGAAAAUUUAGGCAGACAAGAGUAAGGAAAAACAGUUUCAACAAAAGUAACAUGGCGAUAAAUAAAAACUUUACCAGUGCUCGGAUAAAGGCAGCAAAAGCCUUUAUGUUUCUCAGAAAGGUCCAAGAAAACACAAGGGAAUGAUCGGGGAGAGAGCUUGUGAUCUGUAAUGUCCUGAACAUCGGGAUAACACAAACAUCCAAAGACUCUGAUAAGAGACGGGAGUCGAUUCACAAGAAAAACAGCAGUUUGAAUGGCCUCAGUCCAAAAACGAUGAGGCAAGCCAGCUUGAAACAAUAGACUUCUAACAAUGUUAGAUAAAUGCCUAUAUUUUCUCUCAGCAAGGCCAUUUUGUUGAAGAGUGUAAGGACAAGAAAAUCGGUGAAUAAUUCUAUUUUGUGAGCAAAAACUAAAAAACUUGUCAUUUACAAAUUCCGUACCAUUAUCAGAUUGAAAAACUUUUAUUGAGCUGUGAAAUAUAUUUUAAACCAUCUUCUUGAACUCGAGAAAUUUGUCAAAAACUUCAUAUUUAAAUUUUAAAAGAUAAAGCCAGGAAAAUCUAGAAUAAUCGUCGAUAAAAAUAACAUACUAUUUAUAUCCAAAAACCGAGGGCACAGGUGAUUGCCAAACAUCAGAAAGAACAAUAUGAAAAGAAAAAACAUACUGAGAUUCUGAAUCAUGAAAUGAGAGUUUAACAUGUUUUCCCAUAUUACACACAUUGCAGACAGAUAAUUUCAGUGCAGAAUCAGAAAGAAUUUUAUUGUUUUUAAUAAAUGUAGAAAGAACAAGAAGACUAGGAUGACCUAACCGUCUAUGCCAAACAUCUCCACUAAACCUAGAUGCAACAAGAGCUAAUUGUUGCUUAUUUCCUACACUUGCAAGUUUAGAAGAAAUUGGAUAAAGUGAUGUCCUCGAGCUAGGACAUCGAAAAAGCUCUUUCCCUAUUUCCUUGUCCCUAACAAAAAAACCAGUAGAGUCAAAUUCAAAAAGAGAAUUAUUAUCUUGACAGAAUUUAUGCACUGAAAGUAAAUUUCGCUUAAUAGCAGGAACAACAAAAAUAUUUUUAAGAGCAAAAGAGUUAAAAGAUGUAUUCAAUUGAGUUUCACAUGUCUGAAUAAUAUCAAGUAAAUUUUCAUUAUUAACAAGAAUUUUUUCAUGCCCACUAUAAGGUUUAGAAGAUGAGAGAAUACCAGUGUUUGCUGUCAUAUGAUUUGAUGCUCCGGUAUCCAGAUACCAGACCUCCUCACCGGGUUCGUGAAAGUUCAGAGUAGCAAAUGUUUGAGGAACUUCAUCAACAGUGAAAGAAUGAUUGAAGCGUUGUCUGCACUGAAGAGCAGAAUGAUUGAACUUUCCACAUAUCUGACAUUAUAUGCCAGACUUCGGAAUGUACGGUUGUUGAUUUGGAGUGUAAGAUUGUUGAGGAUAAUUGGGUUGAGACUGUGGGUAGAUUCCAGGAGUUCCACGACCAGAGUAGUGUCUACCACGCUGUCCUCGGCCUCUACGAUAUCUACCUCCACGGUCUCCACGAUUACUACGUCCACGAUUGGCAUAAAGAGCUUCACCGUCAAUAGCGGGAAUAGCAGAGGACGUAGUCACACUAGUACGACGCUGGACUUCUGUUUCUUCUUGCAUCAAGAGUGGACGAAGUUGUUCAAAAGUUGGCUUAUUUCUGUGUGUGUUUAGAGCACUAAAAAAACCUCGAUAUUCCUCUGGUAGCCUUAGAAGAAAAAUCAUGACCAAAUUAUGGUCUGACUCGAUUUCACCUAUCGCCUGAAGAGCAUUACCAAUCGUCUUGAUUUUUUGCAUGUAAUCACUCAUGCUCAUUGAGCCUUUCUUGAUACUCCGCAAUUCAGACUUUAAAGAAAAAGCCAUGAAAGCAGUCUUAUCAAGAAAAAAUGCCUCAAUAAUUCUCCAAGUAUCAUAUGCAGUUUUAGGAGAGCUAGAAACAACCAUAUGUAAUAUGCUAAGAGAUAAAGUAGCAUUAAUCCAUGAAAGUAUAGCAGUAUGGUCAUUUUUCUAACUUACAUAUUCAGGAUUUAUAACCACCUUCUUAUCAGCAGUAUCGAUAGUUUGAGAAGGUACACCACUAGUUCUGUCCACAUGUGUUGUAACACCAAAACUUUCUAGAAGAUUAAGAAAGACAUGUUUCCACAGAAGAUAUGUGGAAUCGGUGAGUUCUAGUGGUAUGAGAGUUUUAAUAUUAACAAUUGGCAAAUUUGAGGUAAAAGAAAACAUAUUUACCACCUUAAAAUAAGGAUCCACCACUAGAUAAAAGAGAAAGAUAAAUCGGAAUGUAACGGAUGAGAAUAAAAAAGAACCUGAUUUCUACCAAACGAGAAGAACCACUUAUCACCAAAUAAGAUCGACCGCACCAAGGAAAGAACCGAACGAUAUGAGCAACCAACAGUAGGACAGUCUGAGCGGCACCAGAGGAGCAAAGAGGAAUCACAGGCUGAAAAUACUGUAGCAGAGGCACUGUAGCACUGGUACUGUAGCAGUAUUGUAUCGCCAGUACUGUAGCAGUACAGUAGCGAUAGUACUGUAGCAGUACUUGGAAGAUAGAAAACUAAGAGAAAAGAAACCUAUGGAAAGAGGUGAGACUUAUGGUGGAUGGUUGCGAUAGAUCGAUAUCCCCACAUUAGGGUUUCCGCUCUGAUACCAUAAAAGAAGGGCAAAAAAGCAUACCCUCUUGAGUUGUAUUAGCGAAUAUAUAUAGUACAAGAGAUUGUCUUACUAUAGUAACAAUGACUACUAUAGUAAGAGUAUAACUAGGAUUACAUACUAUAUAAUCCUAUUCCAUAAAAGGCAAUGAUACUACCCUAUAGAAGGCAAUAAUUCACAGUAUCAUAAUAUAGAUAAAAUAUAUCGUAACAGCACCAACAGUACUACCAGAAUUCAGAAAUAAGAAUCCUCAAAGUUUAGAAUUCUAUAUGAUAAAAUCUUUUCAAAAGGAAUUGCUAGCACGAUCAAAUGGCUUGCAACAAUUGGUAAAAGAAACCAAGAAAUAAAAGGUAUUACAUAAAACUCCUUUUGUAUUCCUUCUCUGAAUUGUCUAGCUGAAUUCCAACGUGCCUAGUAGAAUUCUAAGCUCGGAAAUUAGAAUUCUGAAAAUCUGUCUUGCACUGUAAGAGUAAUAAUAGGUCAAGAAAUAAAAAUUUUGAAUUCGUAAUCAGCAACUUUUUAUAGGCAACCUUUUAUAUGAAUUCACAUUCUGAAUCCUAAAUCCUAAAUUCAAAUAAUUCUUAAUAUGAUUUCAGAAUAUGCAGUUUAAAAUUCACCCAGGCAUCGCUGAAUUCAGCUAGUCAAUUCAUUUAAUGACCGAAAUUUUUAUUACACAAUUUAUUUCUAAGCAAUAAAUAUUAUUAAAUUACAAUUUAUAUUUAAUUUAUGUAAUUUUACGUAUAUAAAAAAUGAUGGGUUAAAAAAAUAUAGAUUAUAUAAUUUAUAUUUUACGAAAGAAUAAGAGGAAUGAGUUGCAAAACAAAGAAGAGAAAAACCAACUCCACAGCUAAAAAUAAAAAGAAUCAUCAAAGCUAAGAAUAAGAGUAAGUAAAAAAAGUGGAGAACUUCAGCAAAUACUGAAUACCAAAUCAAAACCAGAAAUCUUGGGAAUCAUACAAAAAACCCAACAUGAAUUUACAUAAAAAUAAACUGUCCAUAAAUAUAAAGUGUAGUCAGAACAGAGCUUGAUAGGCAAUAUAAAUAUAUUUCGCUUAGGCUCCCCCAUUUAUCAAAUAUUGAUCUGAAACCAAUACACAUUACUUAAUUGAUAAGGAAAAGACACCUUAUGCAUUGGAUAUGUAGAACUCUCUUAAUUUAAAACUAAGGUAUCAGCUUAGAUUCCAAAUAUAUGAAGCGUCCAGUAAUAGUAAAAGGUGGGUACUUCUCUUCCAUGUUAAAAAAAUCCCAAUAAGAAUUUGAUUCCAAUGUUGACAGCCAAAACCAAGGCACAUAAUAAAAAUUCUUAGAGGAAAAUGGAACCAAAAUUAUUUAAUUCUCAAAUUCAUACCUUCCCAGCACCAAGCUUACACAUUUUUAAUCUUUCCAACACAUAGUGAAAGAAUCCGCAAACAUCAAGCAAUAUCAUCUAUAUAAUAUAGUUAAUUUGGUUAGCUUAAAUACAUUUCAAAGGAAACUGAUCUGUAUGGAAAGCAGUCAAGAGCUGAUAGAGGCGGCAUCCAUUUACUAUGCAAUCUUAGAAAAAUGAGCUAAUUGAUACCAUCGAAAUUAAUCAAAAUCCGACAAAAAAACUCUUAAGAAAAAAAAAAAAAUCCAAUGAGGAUAUUUUUUUUUUACCAAACAGCUGAAAAAUUCAUACAAAACACAUAAAAAACUCAAUCUGAUACCCGAAAAUGAAAUUGGUGCAGGAAAUAAAAUCAAACUUAACUGGUAUUGAAAAUAAAUUCAAGUUCUUUCUGCGGGAAAAAAAAAAUUAUAAAUCAGAAGCCAUAAUAUACAUGUUUGAACAUUAACUAUCCAAAUCAUCACAUGUUGAACCUAAGCAAGUAAAACAUUAAGCAGCUAUCUAAAUCAUUACUUGCCGAACUUAAGUAUAAUGAGUAGAGCAUCCAAACUCCCAACCGUAGUAUAAAAUGGAUGGUUGCAAGAAAGAUGAAAAGCUCUAUAUUAAAUCAGCUUGUGAAAAUCACACCAAAUAGUAUACAUGAAUGAGUAUAAUAAACAAAAAAUAAUGUGAAAAGAAAAUCAACUAAUACUCCACAUAAAAUAGCUACUGUCAAAUAGCUUUUAAUGAUAAAAUAUCUGAAUUAGUAAAAGAAAGUAUAUAGAAAGCAUUGCGCUACUCUUAGGCUACUUUAUAGAAAGAAUUCAAAAUAGCUAUUUUAAAGUAGAGAUUAAGUGAGCUAAUUUACCAAAUACCUACUUUAUAAAAUAGCUCACUUAAUCGCAACCUCAUAGGUGUCAAAAUGAUCUUUCAUGCCUAUUCAGAAAGUAUAGAGUAGCUAUUUUAUAUUUCUAUAAAAUAGCUCACUUUCUUUUACCAAAUGCCUAAUUUGCUGAAAAUCCCACAUGUUUUGAUACAUACUGACACACGUGUACGGGGAUGGAUUUUGCGACCCUCUCCGCACAAUAGAGGAGCUGCUUCUUAGCCGCUACCGAUGGGAUCGUACAGCAUGUACCGUUUGGGUUCACUAACUCAAAAGUGAUGUGAGAUCCCUAGUGUUCAGCUGUGGAGGCUUGCCGACAGCUCUGGAGAGUGUCGGGGCAAGUCCGAGUCGCGUUGGCGUCAAAUAGACGUAAAACGGACUCCGUGCGACGCGAGGGCAGCUUAUAGCGAAGAAAUCUGCGAAACUGCAGAUUUCUCUGCUUGCUGUACCAGUACAACCAGCGUGGCUGUACCGGUACAACCAUCGCGCAGAGGAUUAGCAGCUCUCGGGUUGGCUCUUGUACCGGUACAAGAGCCCGUGUACCGGUACAAGGGCCCGUGUACCGGUACAAGGGGGUAGGUAGAGGGUUAAUUUAGUAAUUCUCUUCCUCGUUUGUAUCACCACUCCACCUACCUCUUUAUAUAGGCGUAGAGAGCUUGAGAGGGAGUUCUAUUGCUGCUCCUUCUUCCCCUCUCCCUCUCUAGCUUGGUUCGACCGUGGAGUUCGGUUGGAGCUCGGAUUCGACACCGACGUCGCGCCACGAAGCCGUUCGGAGAUACGGUUGGGAUCGUAGCGCUGCGAGGAAGCUUGGCGAGGGUGCGUUUUCGCCGUUCUCGACGCCGUGUCGCUGACCGAUUAGCCAUUGAGGUGAGUGUUCCGUUGCGUUGCUUCAAGUAUUGACAUUUCGAGCUAGGUGCUGUUUGCUGAUUCCCAUCGUCGACCGUUAGUAUUUCAGCUCGUUCUCGACGUAGGAGCAUCAGUUUUCGACGAGGCUUGGUUCGUUGGAUUUGGGACUGCGAGAGGAAUCCACGAAACCCUUACUUGUGAAUUUUGGCGAAGGUUAGCUUGGUCGAAUCCCUGUUGUACCUCACUGCUGCAAUUUCUGGACUGAAUUGGUGAAUUUUGUUACUUAGAGCUCGAGCUUAGGCGAUUUCUGUACUCGGCAGGUUCCGGGUAAUCCAGCAGGUUGCUCUACGCCAGUGGGAGUCCUUCGCUGCCAGAGAUUAGCGUUUGAGGUGGGUUACAUCGGUUUUGACUCCUAAGUUCAUAAUCGUCAACAUGUAUAGAUCUCGAUUUUGAUAAUUUAUUCUAGCUCGAAUUCAUGGAUUAUAUGAUAUAAUGCAAAUCUGAAUUUGGAGUAUGUGGUAAUAAAUUAAGUAGAUUAUAUAUGUUGGACUUGGAAACUGAAUUAGGAGAAAACCUGCGAUUUGGAUCUGUCACCUGAUUAAACUGCCUGAUUUAGCUCUAGGAGCCGUUAUUAAAUUGUACUGUCGCAGUAUCUUCGAGACGAGUACUCCAGGUAGUUUAGAAUAUAUCUACACUCGUGCUGGUUCGCCGAGGGGAUUUUACAGGGUCGUUCAGGCUGUUCCGGACUGUAGGGUGCCGUUGAGGUUGACGGUGGACCCGUAUCGCCUUUUUGGCGUCUGAUUGUGCCGAGGGCACGUUACUUGUUGGUUGUUAGACCAGUUAGAGUCGAUUUCUUGACUUUGGCUUUUCAGAGCCUGUUUGAGCUCGACAGAGAUACGCUGCAUACUCGGUUGGGUAGCGCCCACGAGUGCCACUCCGGAGUCAGGCUUUGUGCUUUCGCGUUGGUGUCGCUCAUGCCAGUUGGACUUGCUCUCCACGGACCAGUUAGUGUGGAUAGAGCCUGAUAGUCGCAACGGGGCAGGGACGGGUGUAUUCACAGUCCCGGGGACGGGUAUGCUUACAGUCCCGAUUGGAUUGGGUCAGAGUUGACAUUUCCUACAGUUGGUUAGUGUAGAGCAUGAUAGUGUAGUGAUCGAUAGCGGUAGAGUUUAUUUCCUGCUUUUCUGACUACUCUUGCUCCCUUCUGUAGACUUGGUGGGUGGACCGAUAUUGUUUUGGGCGGUACCCACUGAGGACUACUUGUUUUUACACUAGUUCCCACGCCCAGUUGUUACCUUUGUUUUUGCAGAGCCACAGGUUCCGGCUGCUGCACCGUCCGCGGACCAGGAUCGAGGCAAGGGCGUCGCGAGUUAGAGCCCUACCCGACGUGCUGAGCUAGAGGUGCCCCUACUGCAGGUAGAUGUUUUGUUUCGAGUUUAUGUACAUAGUUGACUUAACUCGCCAGUGCGAGUAGCUCUGUAUUUUGGUUUUGGACUAUGUAUAUGAAACUCAGUUUGUUUAGCUUCUGUUUUCUCUAGCAGCUCUCUACUACUGUUCCUAGUAGUGUUUGAUUUACAGGUACAGCUGUCACUUCGUAUACAGGAAAAAUUUCUUUGUAUACGGCGGAUUUGUCGGCGCGCCCAGGGGAACGAGACAACCGGGGCGUGACAAGUGAGAAGGCUCAGAGAGCAUGGAAAGUGUUAGAACUACCUAAUAGCCAAACAUCAACAUCCAAAAUUGUUUCUAGCAAGAGCAAAAUCAGAGUAAAAGAAAAAUUUUCACUAAGGAUUAUUCCACUAAUCAGAUGAAAAAAAAAAAAAAAAAAAAAAAACAUUCCAAUACAAAUGGUAUGAAUUUUUAAAAAAGAAACUGCAUCAGAAGAAAGAUGAGAUCAAUUGAGAAAGAAUCACCAUUCAAGAUCAGAAUCCCAAGAAGCACAAACCAGUUCACAAGAGGGAAGCACAAACCAGUUCACAAAAGGGAGAAUUAUGCUUUAAUCAGUGAUCCUACUAUUCUACAAUGAGCAAAAUAACAAAUCCAACAUCAGAAGAAUCACCAAAAAAAUUUUGGCCGCAAGCAACGAACAAAGCAACAACUCAACUCUUAGAAAAGUAAAAUAACAAUCAGAUUCGGAGAUCGCAACAUGUAUAGGAAUCCCCACAAUUCAACUGUUCGAAAAGUAAAACAACAACUAAACCUCCCCAAUCCAAUUCACUGAUCCAAAAUUGACCCUCUCUCUCGGGCUGUAAUGAUCUCUUAAACUUGCAUUACACCUUUUCAGUUAGUAUAGUGAUU
rnacentral:lncRNA from 1 species